rnacentral:rRNA from 1 species
AGCAGCCGCGGUAAUUCCAGCUCCAAUAGCGUAUAUUAAAGUUGUUGCAGUUAAAAAGCUCGUAGUUGAAUUUCGGGGUCAGUAGGUUGGUCGUGCCACAGGUAUGUACUGGCUUCACUGAUUCCUCCUUCUUGAAGAACUGUGAUGCCAUUAAUUUGGUGUUGCAGGGAAACAGGACUGUUACUUUGAAAAAAUUAGAGUGUUUAAAGCAGGCUAACGCUUGAAUACAUUAGCAUGGAAUAAUGAAAUAGGACGUGGAUCCUAUUUUGUUGGUUUCUAGGAUUAACGUAAUGAUUAAUAGGGAUAGUUGGGGGCAUUAGUAUUCAAUUGUCAGAGGUGAAAUUCUUGGAUUUAUUGAAGACUAACUACUGCGAAAGCAUUUGCCAAGGAUGUUUUCAUUAAUCAAGAACGAAAGUUAGGGGAUCGAAGACGAUCAGAUACCGUCGUAGUCUUAACCAUAAACUAUGCCGACUAGGGAUCGGAUGAUGUUAUUUUUAAUGA